AGAACCUUUUUAUAUUUAUUAGGUCAUUCAUUCAAAAAAUACUUACAUAUACAUCCCCACUAGGGCCAGCCUCCAUGCCACAGAGGGUGAGAGAGGGUGGGUCACGGAUUUAUUAAGCACUAGCUGUGUGCUGCUACUAAUAAUAGCAAUAUACGAUGUAUAUUUUAAUAAUACUGAUUGGAAAUGGAGCUGAUAUAUGUUAUGGCCAGCAGAGGGCACAUCUGCCCCAGAAGCCUUCCUCUCAGGUCAGCGAAACUGACCCAAGAGCUUGGGCUAAUGCUGUUUCCCAGGCUGGUGAAGUCCUCACUGAGGCCGUGUCUGGAAAACACCCACCAAUGACGCCCAAUUCGGGGCCUUUGCAGCAACAUUCAUCUUUGAUUUAUUUAUUUAUUGUCUUUUUAGGGCUAUGCCCAGAAGAUAUGAAAAUUCCCAGGCUAGGAGUCGAGUAGGAGCUGCAGGUGCCGGCCUACACCACAGCCACAGCAACACAGGAUCCCACCCAGUCUACAACCUGCACUGCAGCUCACGGCAAUGCUGGAUCCUUAACUCACCUUAACCUAUUGAGCGAGGCCAGGGAUCAAACCCUUGUCCUCACGGGUACUAAUCGGGUUCGUUACCGCUGAGCCACGACAGAAACUCAGGAAAGUGACUAUUUUAAAGAGUUUCAAGACUCGUUUCACUGAGAAGGUGAGAUUUGAGUUAAGGCCUGAGUGAGAUGAAGGAGGAGCCAAAGGAAAUAUGGGAGAGGGCACUUCAGGCAGUGGAAACAGUGAACAAAAACACAGUGGAAAUGUGUCUGGAUCCUUUGCAGUGCAGCAAGGAGGCCAGUGACUUUUUUUUUUUUUUUUUUUUUUUUGGACCGCACCCGUGGCAUAUAGAAAUUCCAAGACUAAGGGUCCAAUCCAAGCUGCAGCUGCCAGCCUAUGCCACAGCCAUGGCCACCCUGCAUCUGCGACCUACACAGCAUCUUGCGGCAACGCUGGAUUCUUAACCCACUGAGUGAGGCCGGGGAUCAAACCUGCAUCCUCAUGGAUACUUGUCGGGUUCUUAACCUGCUGAGCCACAACAGGAACUCCUGCAGAGAGUGGGGGUUUCUUAGCGGAGCAUGGAGUUAAGAUUUUUCUAUCAACAGAAGUAAAAUAGAGGGUGAAGGUGAGGUGCAGUCUAGGUUCAGUGGGAUCUGCUUUAGAGUUUCUGGCAAUGGUCAGCAGGAAGGGCUGGGGACCCCAAGAGGCAGCACUUGAGGCGGCGCUGGAAGCAAGGCUUCAGCACUCUGGACAGUGUCACUAGCGUCUCCCGUAGACCAGGAGGAGGAGCCUGAGGAAGCGACCUAUUAGAAGCGGCGUGCUGUAGCGGAGAUUGAGAAACCGUCCAAUUAGCUCUUGUGCCAUGACGUGCGAACGCUGUCCAGGAGCGGCGCCUGUGAAAAGCUUCUGGGCGUAGCCUGUUGAAUGGGCAAGGAAAGAGUGGUGCGUAAAGAGGCUGCUUUGGGGCAGCAGAAAGCGGUUUUUGAAACGGUGAUGUUGGCAGAGGCGGGGCCUGGGAUGGUUUAUUGGCCCCUCAAGUGCAGGCUUGAGCGAGCUUCUAGAUGCGUGAGCAGGGCUGGGACUCAGUAGAUAGACCAACCUCCCCCUUACUUAGGGUCGCCGCAACUACGCAGGGAAACCCCAAACUGGAAGUAAGGUGUGGUACCCAGUAGGGGUGGGUAUUACGUACGAUCCCAGGAGGUAGAAGGGCAGGAAUCAAGUUUCUGGGUAUGGAGUUGGGGGUUUCGAAUACCUCUUGAAGUUGAAAUAAGGAUCCUUGGAGCCCUGGGUGAUUGUGCAAGGAACCUGGAUGGUCAGUGUUUUCUCUAGUUUAUCCAGCCGGGAUGAGAGCUGUCCUGUGAUAUUCUAGGCCCCUACAGCCUGGCUGCCAGGAGGCCAGUUUUUUGGGGAGACAGACACUAAGGAGGCCAUGUGCCCAGGACUUGAAACCUAUGUGAAAUGACCUCUUUGGCCACUCCCUAAACAUCCUUGCUUAUCUUACCACUGCAGAAUGGAGAGCUAGUGGGUAUGGCCCCCUAUCCUUCCUGUAUCUUGGGGCAAGGUAAUAUAUCUCUCUUGGUGGAGUCAGCUGUCUGGGAUAUGCAGUUUUAACCCCUUUUGUGUCUGGAAGUUGGUCUCUCACCAAGUCCAGUGGACUUUGACACAUAAAUCACUGUAAACCUCAGAUGGACCAGAAUUCAAGCCUCUUUGCUGGUCUCCCAGUCAAUAUUUUCUUCUCUUCCACACCUGUUGUUUGUCCAACAGGCAAAAGGGACUGUUCUGAAGCACCACUAAGCCUAGGUUCUUCC
rnacentral:lncRNA from 1 species